UACGAAGGGGGCUAGCGUUGCUCGAAAUCACUGGGCGUAAAGCGCACGUAGGCGGCUUUUUAAGUCAGGGGUGAAAUCCUGGAGCUCAACUCCAGAACUGCCUUUGAUACUGAGAAGCUUGAGUCCGGGAGAGGUGAGUGGAACUGCGAGUGUAGAGGUGAAAUUCGUAGAUAUUCGCAAGAACACCAGUGGCGAAGGCGGCUCACUGGCCCGGUACUGACGCUGAGGUGCGAAAGCGUGGGGAGCAAACAGG
rnacentral:rRNA from 1 species